rnacentral:lncRNA from 1 species
GCUCCUUUGGCUUCCCUAGAACUGUGAAGCAUAUCGAUGCUGCUCUUUCUGAGGAAAACACUGGAAAAACCUACUUCUUUGUUGCUAACAAAUACUGGAGGUAUGAUGAAUAUAAACGAUCUAUGGAUCCAGGUUAUCCCAAAAUGAUAGCACAUGACUUUCCUGGAAUUGGCCACAAAGUUGAUGCAGUUUUCAUGAAAGAUGGAUUUUUCUAUUUCUUUCAUGGAACAAGACAAUACAAAUUUGAUCCUAAAACGAAGAGAAUUUUGACUCUCCAGAAAGCUAAUAGCUGGUUCAACUGCAGGAAAAAUUGAACAUUACUAAUUUGAAUGGAAAACACAUGGUGUGAGUCCAAAGAAGGUGUUUUCCUGAAGAACUGUCUAUUUUCUCAGUCAUUUUUAACCUCUAGAGUCACUGAUACACAGAAUAUAAUCUUAUUUAUACCUCAGUUUGCAUAUUUUUUUACUAUUUAGAAUGUAGCCCUUUUUGUACUGAUAUAAUUUAGUUCCACAAAUGGUGGGUACAAAAAGUCAAGUUUGUGGCUUAUGGAUUCAUAUAGGCCAGAGUUGCAAAGAUCUUUUCCAGAGUAUGCAACUCUGACGUUGAUCCCAGAGAGCAGCUUCAGUGACAAACAUAUCCUUUCAAGACAGAAAGAGACAGGAGACAUGAGUCUUUGCCGGAGGAAAAGCAGCUCAAGAACACAUGUGCAGUCACUGGUGUCACCCUGGAUAGGCAAGGGAUAACUCUUCUAACACAAAAUAAGUGUUUUAUGUUUGGAAUAAAGUCAACCUUGUUUCUAC